rnacentral:lncRNA from 1 species
GUUGCUACGAUUUGCUCAGGGUCGUUGUCAAGUCACCUUGCAAGAUAACAGCCGGCUGAGUCACCGCUAGCACCUAGACUUACUUUCAGCAAGGAGUCCAACACUACUGGCGGAAAUCCUGUGCCUCUAACAAGCUCAGCCUCUCUGUGGGACGUUCUUCGGGAUCCCUCCGCAGGAGCGCCUGUCCUUUGGGAGGAAGAAGAGCCAACUGGGGUCGUUUGCCUUGGUCUCCUCUCUUCGCUACAUCCACCUAAAGAUUGUUGCAGCCCUCAGUAUCCAUGGAGAAGCCCAGGCUGGAGCACCGGAGACGGCCACGUGCAGAGAUGCCAGGCACUGUCCGAUUGUGAUUGCAGGAAACUGGAGCCCACACAGAACUGGUUGCCGCAGUAGGAGCUGGAAUAAGAGACAGGUGAGGCUGGGAGGAUUUCAACAGGUACC